GACGUAGGGUCCGAGCGUUGUCCGGAGUUACUGGGCGUAAAGCGCGCGCAGGCGGUUUCAUACGUCGGGUGUGAAAGCCCCCCGCUCAACGGGGGAGGGUCAUUCGAAACGGUGAAACUGGAGGCAGGGAGAGGUCGGUGGAAUUCCCGGUGUAGUGGUGAAAUGCGUAGAUAUCGGGAGGAACACCAGUGGCGAAGGCGGCCGACUGGACCUGUACUGACGCUGAGGCGCGAAGGCGUGGGGAGCGAACGGG
rnacentral:rRNA from 1 species